UGAAGCUGAGUGCCCAACUUGUCUGUUUUUGUUAACAACAGUUGGGGAAAAAGUUUCAAUUUUGUGUAACAAACUCUUUACUCAACUUGUUAAUUACUUAAUUGUGAUUGGCAAGUUGCAGUGGUAUCAAGUGAAGUAGCAAUACUGAUCUUGGUCAAAGGAAAAAUGUUACCUGGUUGAUUCUGCCA
rnacentral:misc_RNA from 1 species